rnacentral:rRNA from 1 species
GACGAACGCUGGCGGCGUGCCUAAUACAUGCAAGUCGAACGCAGGGGGGACGGGUGAGUAACACGUGGGUAACCUCCCAUCAGAGGGGAUAACACGUGGAAAAAGGCGCUAAACCGAUACUGAUGGAUGGACCCGCGGUGCAUUAGCUAGUUGGUGAGGUAACUGCCCACCAAGGCCACGAUGCAUAGGCUGCCUGGGAGGGGGAUCGGCCCAACUGGGACUGGAAGACGGGCCAGACUCCUACGGGAGGCAACAGUAGGGGAACUUCGGCAAAUGACGGAAAUCUGACCGCGCAACGCCGCGUGGGGGAAAAAGGUUUUCGGAUCGUAAAAGUCUGUUGUGAGGGAAGCGGUACUUAAAGAGAAAGGAACGGCUAACUACGUGCCAGCAGCCGCGGUAAUAC